GUCUUACUUAGGAAGAACAUAUCCUAAAAAUUGGAAGGAUACAGAGCAGAUUAACAUGAACCCUGCCCAAGGGUACAUUUUUUGUCACCUUUGCAUUUAUCU
rnacentral:snRNA from 1 species